rnacentral:rRNA from 1 species
CACUUUAAGAAAAUAACUUAAAGCUUUUCCUGCUCAAUGAUUAUUAUAUAGCCGCAAAUUUCUGUGCUAAGGUAGCAUAAUAAAUAGUCUACUAAUUGUAGAAUAGAAUGAAAGGAUACACGAAUAUUUUACUAUAUUAAAUUCUUAUUUAAAAUUUACAUUAAAUGUUAAAAUUCAUUUAUCUUAAGAAAGACGAUAAGACCCUAAGAACUUAAACUUAAGUUUAACUGGGGUGGUUAAUAACUAAAUCUUAUUAAUUAUAAAAAAAUUACCUUCACAUUAAUUUCAAAAAGUUACCUUAGGGAUAACAGCACAAUUUUUGUUCAAAGCUCACAUUACAACAAAAGAUUAUGACCUCGAUGUUGAAUUGAAUUAACUUAUUUAAGAAAAAAUAUAUAAAGUAAGUCUGUUCGACUUUUAAAACUUCACAUG